rnacentral:rRNA from 1 species
GACGAAGGUGGCGACCGUUGUUCGGAAUCACUGGGCAUAAAGAGCACGUAGGCGGCAAGGUAAGUCGGGUGUGAAAUCCCUCGGCCUAACCGAGGAAUUGCGCCCGAAACUACCGUGCUUGAGGAUGGAAGGGGAGCGUGGAAUUCCUGGUGGAGCGGUGAAAUGCGUUGAUAUCAGGAGGAACACCGGCGGCGAAGGCGACGCUCUGGUCCAUUUCUGACGCUGAGGUGCGAAAGCCAGGGGAGCAAACGGG